rnacentral:rRNA from 1 species
UACGGGGGGAGCAAGCGUUGUUCGGAUUUACUGGGCGUAAAGGGCGCGUAGGCGGUCAGCACAAGUCAGUUGUGAAAUCUCCGGGCUUAACUCGGAAAGGUCAACUGAUACUGUGCGACUAGAGUGCGGAAGGGGCAACUGGAAUUCUCGGUGUAGAGGUGAAAUUCGUAGAUAUUAGGAAGAACACCGGUGGCGAAGGCGGCCCACUGGAUCGGUACUGACGCUGAGGUGCGAAAGCGUGGGGAGCAAACAGG